rnacentral:rRNA from 1 species
UAAUACGUAGGGACCGAGCGUUGUCCGGAUUCAUUGGGCGUAAAGAGCUCGUAGGCGGCCACUCAAGUCGAAUGUGAAACCUCGAGGCUUAACCUCGAGCCUGCAUUCGAUACUGGGCGGCUAGAGUCUGGUAGGGGGAUCUGGAAUUCCUGGUGUAGCGGUGGAAUGCGCAGAUAUCAGGAGGAACACCGGUGGCGAAGGCGGGAUCCUGGGCCAGUACUGACGCUGAGGAGCGAAAGCGUGGGGAGCAAACAGGAUUAGAUACCCCGGUAGUCCUAGCCGUAAACGAUGGACACUAGGUGUUGGUGGUAUCAACCCCGCCAGUGCCGAAGCUAACGCAUUAAGUGUCCCGCCUGGGGAGUACGGCCGCAAGGCUA